GGCUGGGGGCACAAACCAGGGGGUGGCGACUGUUUACUAAAAACACAGGGCUCUGCGAAGUCGCAAGACGACGUAUAGGGUCUGACGCCUGCCCGGUGCCUGAAGGUUAAAAGGAGGGGUGAGAGCUCUGAAUUGAAGCCCAGGUAAACGGCGGCCGUAACUAUAACGGUCCUAAGGUAGCGAAAUUCCUUGUCGGGUAAGUUCCGACCUGCACGAAUGGCGUAACGACUUCCCCGCUGUCUCCAACAUCGACUCAGCGAAAUUGAAUUGCCUGUCAAGAUGCAGGCUUCCCGCGGUUAGACGGAAAGACCCCGUGCACCUUUACUACAGCUUCGCACUGGCAUCAGGAUUGUGAUGUGCAGGAUAGGUGGUAGGCUUCGAAGCGGGAACGCCAGUUCCCGUGGAGCCUCCCUUGAGAUACCACCCUUCGCACUCUUGAUGUCUAACCGCGGUCCGUUAUCCGGAUCCGGGACCCUGCGUGGCGGGUAGUUUGACUGGGGCGGUCGCCUCCUAAAGCGUAACGGAGGCGCGCGAAGGUUGGCUCAGAGCGGUCGGAAAUCGCUCGUUGAGUGCAAUGGCAGAAGCCAGCCUGACUGCGAGACUGACAAGUCGAGCAGAGUCGAAAGACGGCCAUAGUGAUCCGGUGGUCCCGAGUGGAAGGGCCAUCGCUCAACGGAUAAAAGGUACGCCGGGGAUAACAGGCUGAUACUGCCCAAGAGUCCAUAUCGACGGCAGUGUUUGGCACCUCGAUGUCGGCUCAUCUCAUCCUGGGGCUGGAGCAGGUCCCAAGGGUACGGCUGUUCGCCGUUUAAAGAGGUACGUGAGCUGGGUUUAGAACGUCGUGAGACAGUUCGGUCCCUAUCUGCCGUGGGUGUAGGAUACUUGAGAGGAGUUGCCCCUAGUACGAGAGGACCGGGGUGAACGAUCCACUGGUGGACC
rnacentral:rRNA from 1 species